AUCCCUACACUUGGAGAUACAGUACUUUGAAACUGAAGAAUUAGCAGUAUAGCAUGGCCCCUGCACAAGGAUGACAGGCAAAUUCAUGAAGCGUUCCAUAUUUUU
ensembl:snRNA U6 U6 spliceosomal RNA